GAGGAAUAUUGGGCAAUGCCCGCAAGGGUGACCCAGCAACGCCGCGUGGAGGAUGAAUGUCGUAAGAUUGUAAACUCCUGUUAGAGGGGAAGAAUAGUACCGGUUGGACCGGUAUAUGACUGUACCCUCAGAGAAAGCCCCGGCUAACUACGUGCCAGCAGCCGCGGUAAUACGUAGGGGGCAAGCGUUGUCCGGAUUUACUGGGUGUAAAGGGCGCGCAGGCGGGAUAAAAAGUCAGUGGUGAAAUCCUACAGCUUAACUGUAGAACUUCCUUUGAUACUUUUAUUCUUGAGUUCGGGAGAGAGAGACGGAAUUCCAGGUGUAGUGGUGAAAUACGUAGAUAUCUGGAAGAACACCAGUUGCGAAGGCGGUCUCUUGGUCCGACACUGACGCUGAGGCGCGAAAGCGUGGGGAGCAAACA
rnacentral:rRNA from 1 species